rnacentral:rRNA from 1 species
GGAUGGGCCCGCGGCCUAUCAGCUUGUUGGUGAGGUAACGGCUCACCAAGGCGACGACGGGUAGCCGGCCUGAGAGGGCGACCGGCCACACUGGGACUGAGACACGGCCCAGACUCCUACGGGAGGCAGCAGUGGGGAAUAUUGCACAAUGGGCGAAAGCCUGAUGCAGCGACGCCGCGUGAGGGAUGACGGCCUUCGGGUUGUAAACCUCUUUCAGCAGGGAAGAAGCGCAAGUGACGGUACCUGCAGAAGAAGCGCCGGCUAACUACGUGCCAGCAGCCGCGGUAAUACGUAGGGCGCGAGCGUUGUCCGGAAUUAUUGGGCGUAAAGAGCUCGUAGGCGGCUUGUCGCGUCGGUUGUGAAAGCCCGGGGCUUAACCCCGGGUCUGCAGUCGAUACGGGCAGGCUAGAGUUCGGUAGGGGAGAUCGGAAUUCCUGGUGUAGCGGUGAAAUGCGCAGAUAUCAGGAGGAACACCGGUGGCGAAGGCGGAUCUCUGGGCCGAUACUGACGCUGAGGAGCGAAAGCGUGGGGAGCGAACAGGAUUAGAUACCCUGGUAGUCCACGCCGUAAACGGUGGGCACUAGGUGUGGGCGACAUUCCACGUCGUCCGUGCCGCAGCUAACGCACUAAGUGCCCCGC